rnacentral:rRNA from 1 species
AGUGAACGCUGGCGGUAGGCCUAACACAUGCAAGUCGAACGGCAGCACAGUAAGAGCUUGCUCUUACGGGUGGCGAGUGGCGGACGGGUGAGGAAUACAUCGGAAUCUACUUUUUCGUGGGGGAUAACGUAGGGAAACUUACGCUAAUACCGCAUACGACCUACGGGUGAAAGCAGGGGAUCUUCGGACCUUGCGCGAUUGAAUGAGCCGAUGUCGGAUUAGCUAGUUGGCGGGGUAAAGGCCCACCAAGGCGACGAUCCGUAGCUGGUCUGAGAGGAUGAACAGCCACACUGGGACUGAGACACGGUCCAGACUCCGACGGGAGGCAGCAGUGGGGAAGAUUGGACGAUGGGCGCAAGACUGAUCCAGCCAUACCGCGUGGGUGAAGAAGGCCUGCGGGUUGUAAAGCCCUUUUGUUGGGAAAGAAAAGCAGCAGGUUAAUACCCCGCUGUUCUGACGGUACCCAAAGAAUAAGCACCGGCUAACUUCGUG